rnacentral:tRNA from 1 species
GGGGUUGUAGCUCAGGGGUAGAGCGCUUGUCUAGCACAUGUGAAGCCCUGGGUUCAAUCCUCAGCACCA